rnacentral:rRNA from 1 species
GGUUUUGAUUAUGGCUCAGAUUGAACGCUGGCGGGAUGCUUUACACAUGCAAGUCGAACGGCAGCACGGACUUCGGUCUGGUGGCGAGUGGCGAACGGGUAGAGUAAUGUAUCGGAACGUGCCUAGUAGCGGGGGAUAACUACGCGAAAGCGUAGCCAAUACCGCAUACGCCCUUCGGGGAAAGCGGGGGGACCUCGGGCCUCGCACUAUUAGAGCGGCCGAUAUCGGAUUAGCUAGUUGGUGGGGUAACGGCUCACCAAGGCGACGAUCCGUGGCUGGUUUGAGAGGACGACCAGCCACACUGACCGAGACACGGCCCAGACUCCCUACGGGAGGCAGUGGGGAAUUUUGGCCAAUGGGGGAAAUCCCUGAUCCAGCCAUCCCGCGUGUGCGAGCGAAGGCCUUCUGCUGUAAAGCACUUUUGGCAGGAAAGAAACGGCACGGGAUAAUACCCCGUGCAACUGACGGUACCUGCAGAAUAAGCACCGGCUAAUCCAUGUGCCAGCAGCCAGUAAUACGUAGGGUGCAAGCGUUAACGGAAUUACUAAGGUAAGCGUGCGCAGGCGGUUCGGAAAGAAAGAGGAAAUCCCAGAGCUUAACUUUGAACUGUAUUUUUAAUAACUCACCGAGCUAGGAGUGUGUCAGAGAGGUGGAAUUCCGCGUGUAGCAGUGAAAUGCGUAGAUAUGCGGAGGAACACCGAUGGCGAAGGCAGCCUCCUGGGAUAAACACUGACGCUCAUGCACGAAAGCGUGGGAGCAAACAGGAUUAGAUACUCCCGGUAGUCCACGCCCUAAACGAUGUCAACUACGCGGGGCCUUCGGGCCUGGUAGCGCAGUUAACGGUGAAGUUGACCGCCUGGGGAGUACGGUCGCAAGAUUAAAACUCAAAGGAAUUGACGGGGACCCUGCACAAGCGGUGGGAUGGAUGUGUGGAUUAAUUGAUGCAACGCGAAAAACCUUACCUACCCUGAGAUGUCUGGAAUCCCUGAAGAGAUUUGGGAGUGCUCGCAAGAGAACCGGAACACAGGUGCUGCAUGGCUGUCGUCAGCUCGCAUCGAGAUGUUAAGCUAAGUCCCGCAACGAGCGCAACCCUUGUCAUUAGUUGCAGCGAGCGAAAGGGCACUCUACGAGACUGCCGGCGACAAACCGGAGGAAGGUGGGGAUGACGUCAAGUCCUCAUGGCCCUUGCGGCAGGGCUUCACAUCGUCAUACAAUGGUCGGGACAGAGGGUCGCCAACCCGCGAGGGGAGCCAAUCCCAGAAACCCGAUCGUAGUCCGGAUCGCAGUCUGCAACUCGACUGCGUGAAGUCGGAAUCGCUAGUAAUCGCGGAUCAGCAUGUCGCGGUGAAUACGUUCCUCGGUCUUGUACACACUGCCUGCCCACGACUCAUGGGGAGUGGGUUUUACCAGAAGUAGUUAGCCUAACCGCAAGGAGGGCGAUUACCACGGUAGGAUUCAUGACUGGGGUGAAGUCAGAAUAAGGCAG